rnacentral:rRNA from 1 species
CAGAGGUGCCAAGCGUUAGGCGGAAUCACUGGGCUUAAAGCGUGUGUAGGCGGAAUGGUAAGUACCUUGUGAAAUCCCACGGCUCAACCGUGGAACUGCUUGGUAUACUGCUUUUCUUGAGCCACUUAGGGGCAACCGGAACAAACGGUGGAGCGGUGAAAUGCGUAGAUAUCGUUUGGAACGCCAAUGGUGAAAACAGGUUGCUGGGAGUGUGCUGACGCUGAGACACGAAAGCCAGGGGAGCAAACGGG